UUUCAGCUGGACUGAUUUUGAUUUCACAUGUUUUUGUACCUCCCUGUCAUAUUUUUCCCUCCUAUCUUUUAUUUACUAAGAUUGCAUUUCUAUAGGCAAGAACACACCAUACUUAGCAUAUUGGGCUCCAGUCUCAUUGGUGAGCAUUGGCUGCUGGAUUGGUAAGGCCUAGAUUAGGGCUUCACUUGCAGGUUCACUUGCCUACCCUAUUUGAGCUGGUGUGGAUGAGCAAGAGCAAGAGCGUGAGCAAGAAACAAGGGCAUAGCUACAGCACAGCUCAGACAGAACCAAGGGCAAACCCCUCUGCUUAGGAGCAGCUCCUGAGAAAAGCAGCCAAAAGCACAUCAGAGCUUCUCUUGGAUUCAAGGCCAGCUGUGGACGCUACACAAAGGAAGAGGAAGAGGAAGAGGAAGAGGAAGAGGAAGAGGAAGAGGAAGAGGAAGAGGAAGAGGAAGAGGAAGAGGAAGAGGAAGAGGAAGAGGAAGAGGAAGAGGAAGAGGAAGAGGAAGAGGAAGAGGAAGAGGAAGAGGAAGAGGAAGAGGAAGUCCUGUUGCCAUGCUAUGCCUCAUCACUCAGAAAAAGGCACAUUGUCUGUGCCUUAAAGCACUGGAGUUCUAGAGCCUUUCGACAGAAAGUUUGCCACAUCUUUUAAGACAUAGUCAGAACCAACAUAUUUUCCUCCAGUCUUAUUUUUGGAAAUGGUUGAACUCAGUUUUCCAAAAUAAUCAGCCUCGGGUAGACACCUGACAUGCAAAAUUUCAGCCUAAACUGUCUGAGUUCAACAACAUUAUAAAGCAAGGAAAAGAAAAGCCAGGUUUUAUCGUGGGAAUAUGGGAGGCAGACAGACAAUCCCAAUCCCACCUGUGACAUGGUGACAGCUGGCAUCAUCAUUAUCUGUCUUACCAUUGGUUAUCAAGUAAUUUCUAUGAUAAUAUAUUAACCUCAUAAAAUAUUGGUCUUUUGGGCCAAAAUCUUCCAUGCUUAGUAUUUGGCCAAAGGCAAUUUUUUUCUGGAGUACUUUUAGGAAAAACAAAACAAAACAAAAAAUCUACUGAGACACUUCUGAGAUAUGUGUGUGAGAAACACAGUAUGUAUUAGAUACAAUACAUAUCAAUACAAUACAAAAUAUAUUGAACAUUUUGACCAUUGUUACAAAGUUUUUCCAGAUCAACUGUUCCAGGAUGGCUAAACAACUGUCCCAGAUUGCAAGGCAAGAUGUAUUCUAUUUGCCAUCUCUUAGAGGUGUGGCAGUUAUCUUCUGUUAAAUGGGCAGCUUUUCUUACCUCUUCCACAACCAAUCCUCCGGGGAGACAUCUGCUGAUAAUAGGCUAUUGAAUAUCACUGCAUGACUGAUAAGAAUUACAGCAACCCCUUGUGAGAUGCUCUGCCCAGAGGGAGGAGCCAAACAUUCCUAACUGGACGUAAUCUGAGAUCCUGGGACAGCAAGACAGCCUUUCCACUGGAUUCCCAGAGGAACAGCUGCACCUUCCACAGGAUCUUCAGAGGAAGACUACACCCUUUCUACAGGGUCACUGCUCUAACAGAACCACACUGCUACUCCAGGAGGACUGCUGCCACAAUUCCAAUUGGACUGCUACCAACACCCUGACCAACAGAGUGUCAGGUUGUAUUCUGACUCUGUCAGUGUUGUUUUGAUUUACUGCAUUGUUUAUUUUAUUUAUUUUUAUUUUCUUCCCUAAUAAACAACUGUUAUUCCUGAUCCCAUA